GCGGAGGGCCGGACGGCCGCCCUGUCACAGGGGAGGAAAGUCCGGACUCCAUGAAGCAAGGGUGCCGGGUAAUGCCCGGGCAGAGCAAUCUGACGGAAAGCGCCACAGAAAUCAAACUACCCCGGCCCGCCGGGGAACAGGUGAAACGGUGGGGUAAAAGCCCACCGGGGGGCUGGCAACAGCCCCCGCACGGCAAGCCCCACCCGGAGCAAUGCCGAAUAGGGGGAUCGCGCGGGGCAACCCGCAGGGUCGCUUCAGCCCAGAUCCCCGGGUUGGCAGCACGAGGCCGUUGGCGACAGCGGUCCCAGAGGAAUGGUCGUCCCUCCAGCAACGGAGGACAGAAUCCGGCUUACAGGCCCUCCGCGCGU
rnacentral:RNase_P_RNA from 2 species